CGCUGCGCCACAGGCCAGACAGCUGAUAUACGCAGUACAUAUAAAUAUUUUGCAUCAUUAUCGAGUUAGUUUUGUAGGCGGAAAAAUAGAUUAGAUAGUGCUCCAUAGUGCUCCAUUGCAGAAAGAUAUAUUUUGAUCGUGUUAUAAUUCGUCAUUAUUUUGUCGCAUUAUAUAGUUAUAGUCACGUGCAACGAAAAUGCCUAAUAUAACCAAUUUAUCUCAUUUUCCUUUAAAGAUUAUAUUUGCAAUACAUUUGGUACUUGUAACAUGGAGUACUCAAGGAAAUUGGUGUCCACAGUCUGUGCUUUUUUAUAAUUUGUUAUUCCUUGUUUGUAUAUUGUGGGCUGUUCAUAGUAAUGAAUCAGAUGAACCACUUCAAUUUGCACUUUUUAUAAAUGUAAUUUCUAUAUUUCUCGAUGUGGUGACUUUAUCAGUUUACUAUCCUUCAGACUUUAGUGCUUCUAAUAAAUUUAGUGCAGCUUUUAUGAUCAUAAAUUUAAUUGCUCGUCCUAUCUCGAGUAUAUAUCUGCUGCGAAUAGGCCAGGGGAGAAAUGGCAGUUUAGCCACAGUAUUUGCACCGAGUCCUGCCUUGGGUCAGUAAAUCACUGGGUAGACAUCUACGCUUUUUGUAGUGCGUCAGUGCUUCGUCAAGAUCUGAUUUUAAGUAUGUUAUGGCCGGCAAGACUAUGAGGACAUAUCACAGCCUAUUCCACAAAAUUCCGAUUUUGAGGGAGUUUAAGAUAGAAUGAAAUUUGCUUGAAAUAUCAAUUCCAAAUACAAUAUAUACAUGUGAAAUAAUAUAUUUUAGAUAAUGUUGACAUUAUUUAUUGAUGCUGUUAAUAUGCAACUUAUGAUAUGAUUAAAGAUUA